GUCCCGCCUGAAACUAAGAGCGCGCCGCGAGUCUCGGGCGCGCUCUUAAAGAGACAGUGGGAGCCUAAUUGCCAAAAGGCUCCCAUUGGCUCCUGUCAUACCACACUCCCUAUACAAUUACCUAUAGGGGGUGUGGAAGUGACAGGAGCCAAUCACUUUGGUUUAAAAGCUAUUUAACUUACCUUUUUCCCUUAGCUCGUUGCCCUAUCGUGGUUUCUGUUUCAGUUCCCUUUAGCGCUUGUGGUGUUCAGUUGUGUUUUCUCGUAUUGACUUUGGCUUCGUAUUCUGACUUCGUUUUCGCUUUAUCCUUAUCUGUACUGUUUGCCGGCUUGCUGUUUUCCGUGUACCAGACCCCGGCUUGUCCUAGUUUACGCUGUCUCUCUGUGCCCUUGACCUCGGUUUGUUUCUGGCUCUGUCUCCUCUCAUAUACGUCGAGUCCGGCCAUUCUAAGGUCCGGUAGACGUAUCUCUCCUCUGUAUUUGCCUCUGUUUAGCUGGAUCCUGCGUGCAGGGGUAUAUUCUCGUUACAGUUCCCUGAUAGACACUCAGAAAAAAGUAAAAACCAAA
rnacentral:lncRNA from 1 species